rnacentral:rRNA from 1 species
UGGGGAAUAUUGCACAAUGGGCGAAAGCCUGAUGCAGCAACGCCGCGUGAGUGAUGAAGGCCUUCGGGUUGUAAAGCUCUUUCUUUUGGGACGAUAAUGACGGUACCAGAGGAGGAAGCCACGGCUAACUACGUGCCAGCAGCCGCGGUAAUACGUAGGUGGCAAGCGUUGUCCGGAUUUACUGGGCGUAAAGGAUGCGUAGGCGGAUACUUAAGUCAGAUGUGAAAAUCCCGGGCUUAACUUGGGAACUGCAUUUGAAACUGGGUAACUAGAGUUCGGGAGAGNAAAGUGGAAUUUCUAGUGUAGCGGUGAAAUGCGUAGAGAUUAGGAAGAACACCAGUGGCGAAGGCGACUUUCUUGACCGUAACUGACGCUGAGGCAUGAAAGCGUGGGGAGCAAA